AAUAGGCCUUGUCUUCUGGGGAAAGCAUGGUCUGCCCAUUCAAGUGUGAGCAAGAGUUGUUCAACAUCCUUAAUCAUCAGAGAAAUGCAAAUCAAAACAACCCUGAGAUUCCAUCUCACACCAGUCAGAAUGGCUANNNNNNNNNNNNNNNNNNNNNNNNNNNNGAGCUUAGAGCAAAAGCUUCUAAAAUCAAGAAGAAGAAAAAGCUUUUUCAGAGUCAUUCCAGGAUCCCAUGGAGUUGUGACUAGAUAAGACACUUGGCUGCUCUGAGACGAAAAUGUCUUACGGAUUGGCAGAUAAGGAAGAGCUCUGACUGCCUGUCCCUAGUCAUGGAAGGGAGUGAUAAGCAGACAUAGAAGUAAGGACCUGCAAGAGGAACACACCUUCACACUCCUAUAAGUGAAUUUAUCAGAUAAAAGCAAGAGAUUCAGCAUCACUAAGAGCAAAAAUGUGUGAAAGACUAUGAAAAGGAAUAAAGUGGGAGCUUGCAUCUUUAGUGUCCAAAGUACAAGCCCUGUUGCCUGGAAUUCUUCGUUAUACAAACCUUUAUUCAAUGAGCGUCUGCUGACAGGGUUGGACAACACAAAGUCAAUCCCCAGGAGUCACGUGACAGAAAGAACCAACUCUUGCAAGUUGACCUCUGACUUCCAUAUAGUGGCCGUGCCAUGUGCAUCCCUACCAGAGCCACAGUAUCCACUUCUUUGCAUGUGAGCCAGCAACCCACGUGACUUACAUCUCUACAGGGAAAAACACCUAUACCACUUAAUUCUCAAGGUUGUUGAGAAGUACCUCCCCUAUAUUCAUCAAUAUGGGAGACUAUAAGAAGAAUGGCUGUUUUAUUAUAUAUUUGAAUAUUUCCAUAUGAAAUUGUGAAUACUACUUAAUGACAGGUUGUCUCUUCACUGGAAUGAUGAUGCUCUUUGUUACACAGAGCUUUUUAGUUUCAUGAGGUCCCAUUUAUUUUUGUGUGAGGGUACAGUAUUUCAAUGAAGGUGAUAUGAUCACUCCUGUUUGGAAGCUGAAUCAAUGAAAACACAAGUGCCUGUAAUAGAAUAUCAUUGCCUUCAACUACUGACUAAAACCUUUGGGGGGUUUUGAUUUGAGCUCAGACCUUACAGCAUUCUAUUAUUUAUGUGAAAGAAAUUUACAAUCCUUGUUCUGACAAACUAGUCCACCCAGAGAACAAGACAGGAUCUGUCAUGUUUGCCAAUCAAUGCUGGUGGUGUAAAUCACACCUGCUGAUGUCAAGCAUAAACAUCUGCUUCUAGAACUUUCCCCCACUUUCCAUCAGCUCUCACUGGCCUUAUUUUUUAAAUAAAUCUACAUGUCUUUC
ensembl:lincRNA Gm44904 predicted gene 44904